rnacentral:lncRNA from 1 species
GUGUCGCUCACCUUGGUAUAUGUGAAUAUUAAACAAAAGAAGCAGAUAGAUUCAUGACAAAAUUGUGUUUUGGUGAUGGUGAUGUGUUUGUACAUCUUACUUUACUGAACAUUUUUGCUGCUUACAAUUAUCUCUAUCUAUAAUGAACUUGGCCCAGUAGUUUCAGUGGAAAAUGUUAGUAAAAAUUUACAAAUUUUAUGAAAAUUGUUAAAAAUUGACUAUAAAGGACAAUUACUCCUUAGGGGUCAAUUGACCAUUUCAGUCAUGUUGACUUAUUUGUAAAUCUUACUUUUCUGAACAUUAUUGCUGUUUACAGGGCAGAUAGAUCUUGACCUGAUAAACAAUUUUACGUUGUCAGAUUUGCUCUAAAUGCUUUGGUUUUUGAGUUAUAAGCCAAAAACUGCAUUUUACCCCCUAUGUUCUAUUUUUAGCCAUGGCGGCCAUCUUGGUAGGAUGGCCGGGUCACCGGACUCAUUUUUUAAACUAAAUACCCCAAAAAUGACUGUGGCCAAGUUUGGAUUAAUUUAACCUAGUAGCUUCAGAGGAGAAGAUUUUUUGUAAAAGAUUACUAAGAUUUACGAAAAAUGGUUAAAAAUUGACUAUAAAGGGCAAUAACUCCUAAAGGGGUCAACUGACCAUUUCGGUCAUGUUGACUUAUUUGUAAAUCUUACUUUCAUGAACAUUAUUACUGUUUACAGUUUAUCUCUAUCUAUAAUAAUAUUCAAGAUAAUAACCCAAGACAGUAAAAUUUCCACAAAAUUACCAAUUCAGGGGCAGCAACCCAACAACGGGUUGUCCGAUAUAUCUGAAAAUUUAAGGGCAAAUAGAUGUUGACCUGAUGAACAAUUUUACCCUGUUAGAUUUGGUCUAAAUGCUUUGGUUUUUGAGUUAUAAGCCAAAAACUGCAUUUUACCCCUAUGUUCUAUUUUUAGCCAUGGUGGCCAUCUUGGUUGGUUGACUGGGUCACGCCAGACAUUUUUAAAAGUAGAUACCCCAAUGAUGAUUGUCACCAAGUUUGGAUUAAUUUGGCCCAGUAAUUUCAGAGGAAAAGAUUUUUGUAAAAGAUUACUAAGACUUAUGAAAAAUGCUUAAAAAUUGACUAUAAAGGGCAAUAACUCCUAUAGGGGUCAAUUGACCAUUUCGGUCAUGUUGACUUAUUUGUAAAUCUUACUUUGCUGAACAUUAUUGCUGUUUACAGUUUAUCUCUAUCUAUAAUAAUAUUCAAGAUAAUAACCAAAAACAGUAAAAUUUCCUUAAAAUUAC